AGAAUCAGGAAUGAUGGCUUGCAACAGGCACCUGCAGGCUUCUGAUUGUAUGGGUGGGAAAACAAUCAGCUGCAGAACUCCUCACUCGAGUUCAGCAGGGGGAAGAAAGGCUUGAUUUAGGAUGUGUGGCUGCGUUGGGAGGUGAAAUGUACGGAGGGCUAAGGGCCAGACCUCAGAGAAUUAUGGCUGCUUUGGGAGAGAAUGCCAAAGGACCCACUUCUUUUUUUUUUUUUUCGUGAGGAAUGUGUUUUAAUCUUGUCAUUUGCAUCUUUGCUGGUACUGCAGUUUUCCUUUCUGUACGUUUCAUGCUGAUAUUUAUCCAUGUACACGGAUCUGUUUGCAUCGUUACAGCUCCCCCUCACCUUGCUUAUGCCUGUACAACGCGGGACUACGGGGCAGGUGGUGCUGCGUGGCUCCAUCUCUGCAGGCAAAUAGAGGUAUUUCAGCUGCUCUCUCUGCCGUGGCUGGUUUGUUUGAAGGCUGAGCAGAUGGGGAUAGCUGCUGGGUUUGGAGGAUGUGGAGAAAUUUGCACAACUGCCAAGACACUUCCACUGACAGGCAGUUUUGACUUCAACCUUCAGAGGAGUCCAAUUUACAAGCUGGAGCAGCGUGUGCCCACCAUGAUAGGAAGGGAGUGGCAAGAGCCAAGCUGCUGUGUGCCAGGCAAAGAAUAAAUGUGUAUAAAAAGCUUUCCAAGAGAAACCUUAGCAUGCUGACACUUGUGAGCCUAUCCAAACAGAAAUUUUGCAGUGAAAACCCUGGACCAAAACUGGAAUGAUGCUGAAUGACUACCAUACUGUCAGUUGGCAGCUCAGCUGAAUAAAAAUUAGCCAAGUACCACAACGUUUGAUUCAGCAACAUCAACCAAAACAAUCAAUUAUUCUUACUGUGUAAUUAUCUCGUCUAGAAGGCAUGAGAGCACUGGAAUGCCUUGAAGCCAGUUCUUAGUCCUUCCAUGUUCAUUUUCUUCUGCUUACUCUGAAAGCUCUGGCUAGAUGUCUGCUCCUUUGCUUACAGUUUGCCCUGUUUAUAACGUCUGACUUCUGUAACUGGACUUUCACAUGUUGCUGGAACUCAAAUGAGUUUUAAGUAUCUCUUAAAGAUUAACAGGAAGUAAAAUCUGACCAUGUUUCUUAAU
rnacentral:lncRNA from 7 species